rnacentral:lncRNA from 1 species
AUGGCUCAUUCUAUGAAAGAGCAAUGCAUUACCUAUUUCAAACAGCUUCCAGCUUUAGGAUAUUUUUUCAUGAGUGCACUAAUCCUUUUGUUUAUCUUGUCUAAUAUUCAGGGGAGAAAACUCAUCUUCCUACAACCCUUUGCCAUUUGGACCUUACAAAUCUCUAAGAUUCAUCCAUUUUGGGGUUCUUCCUCACCAUGUUCAUUGAGGAAUUCUCCUUCACUAUGGGAGAGUCAAAAAAAUAUGACAAAAGGAAUCUGGAUGUAUAGAGAAAGGAACUUUAAAGAAACUGGAGUGGAUCAUGGCCAAGUUUGAAGGAGGACGUGGAUCUCAUUUUUUUGGUAUGGAAACUUCCUGUAGUCUUGGCUGUACAUGGGUAAGUGAAAUAUUAUUACAUUUUGUACUACAGACUUGUGGGAUAGAAAUUACUUUAGUUGGGUCCUGAUUCAAGGACUUGUUACAAAUUUAUUUUUCUUUUACUUAGAAUUUUACACAUAAGGCUUUGAUAGUCUGUAUUUCAUCCACAAAUUAUUUUCUCUUUUAUUUGUUUUUUUAAAUGUUUUUGAUUUCUCUUGCCAAUUGAUUCAUAUACCUCAUAACUCAGCCAUGCAUUUCUAAGUGAUCCCUGUGUUUUUCAACACCCUCUUCAGGGGAGAAUGUAUUAUUAUUAUUAUUAUUAUUCUAAAAUGCAAAGUUCAAAUUCUUUUGAGAGUAAUUUUAGGUUAAGAAACAUGCUACCUCUCUGAAUCUAGAAAGUGAACUGUUUGGGGAAGGCACCAUGAAAAUGCCUCCACAGACCACAAGCUGCACCAGAAGAUCCAGAGUGAACUUUGGGAUGUGGUGAUUUGAACUGUGUGGGGUUGAAUGCAUUUGUUUUCUAUAUAUACUCUUAUGCUGAAAGGGGACUGCCCCCUAACUGACUUUUUGUCAAUGAGUCUAGCAAUCAUUGGUUUUGUUCUCUUUUCCUUUUAUCCUCAAAUUAUUGUAAUUUCAAAGUUGUUUGUGUUUAUAAGAUCCAUUGGAGAGACUAGUCUUCCAUGGAUCUCAGGGGGAAUGUAUAAUUGAAAAUCUGUUACCCUAAAAAAAGAACUACAUUUCCUAGGAGCCCACUGACUUCCUAUUGUUAUAUACUUCCUGUAGACAGAGGAUAUUAGCCAGUGGGUGGUCCUCUUGUACUCUUUUUUUUUUAAAACCCUUACCUUUGUCUUGGAGUCAAUACUGUGUAUUGGCUCCAAGGCAGAAGAGUGGUAAGGGCUAGGCAAUAGGGGUCAAGUGACUUGCCCAGGGUCACAUAGCUGGGAAGUGUCUGAGGCCAGAUUUGAACCUAGAACCUCCCAUCUCUAGGCCUGGCUUUCAAUCCACUGAGUUACCCAGCUGCCCCCUCUUGGACUCUUUCUUGGGCUUGCAGCUAGCAUGGUGGUGGUGGUAAGCUAAAUGUCAGGAUUUUGAAAUGGGCUAAUCAGCCAUGGGCAUGUGGUCUUUAUUUUGUAUCCUCUUUAUUCCUUGAUUUCUAAUGAUCAUUAAUAAAUCUCCUAAAAUAUAAUAUUUUUAUUAUUGA